rnacentral:misc_RNA from 1 species
GGGGAGCCUGGGCGCCUCGG